GUCCACGCCGUAAACGAUGUCAACUAGCCGUUGGAAUCCUUGAGAUUUAGUGGCGCAGCUAACGCAUUAAGUUGACCGCCUGGGAGUACGGCCGCAAGGUUAAACUCAAAUGAAUUGACGGGGCCCGCACAAGCGGUGGAGCAUGUGGUUUAAUUCGAAGCAACGCGAAGAACCUUACCAGGCCUUGACAUCCAAUGAACUUUCCAGAGAUGGAUUGGUGCCUUCGGGAACAUUGAGACAGGUGCUGCAUGGCUGUCGU
rnacentral:rRNA from 1 species